UAACUCUGGAGAGCUGUAAUUUGAAAGGGGGGCCUUUGAAGCAUUUACCUUACAUGGGACGCUAUUGUCACUGCAGGGUGUUUGAUCUUAAAAUAAUUUACUUAAUGAUCUCACCAUGGGAGCAAUUGGCAGAGCAAGAUUAGGCUGUAAGGCCUAAUGGACAUGGGAAAAGUUAAAAUUGCUCGGAGAAAGUUUGCUUACAGCCAAGCCCCUUGGGACUUCCCUGGUGGCUCAGACAGUAAAGCGUCUGCUUACGAUGCGGGAGACCCAGGUUCAACCCUGGGUUGGGAAGAUCUCCUGGAGAAGGAAAUGGCCACCCACUCCAGUAUUCUUGCCUGGAAAAUCCCAUGGACGGUGGAACCUGGUAGGCUACAGUCCAUGGAGUCCCAAAGAGUUGGACACAACUGAGCAACUUCACUUUCACUUUAAGCCCCUUGUAAAAAGGUAAAAGCUAUGAAUUCACAAGCUCACUCUUAGAACCUUCCAAUCUACCAGUGACCUGGAUGUCAAGAAGCACUUGACCUUCACAGGCAGCAGGUGCUGAGCCAUCUCCUGAGCCCACACAGCAAGGAGGCAACUGCCCUGCCAGUCCCAGCGUUCAUGCUACAGGAGGAGUCACAAGAGAGGGAUGAAAAAGAGCAAAGUCAAGGUCAAGCCACUUACCUACCUCUCCCCGCCAGCUCCCUCCCUCCUUGCACUGAUUACUGUCCUGUGUUUCAGAGGUAUUCCUGCUGGCCUAGAACCAUCAUCUCAUCCAGAAGACACAUAAAUUCCACCCAGAGUGAAGUCUGCUCAGAUCCAUCUGUCUCCUUACUAUUUCAACCAAUGUAUUCCCUCUUACAAAAAAAAGUGCACUCAGGUUGGAAAAGUGUGGAAAGAGCAGGUGAACUCACUGUCAGUGGCCAUAUUAUCCCUCACUGUUCAUUGUCUUCAUCACUAAGACCCACCAGGCAAAUCUUUUUGUGUAUUAAGGAAGGAAAUCGGAAGCUGUCUCCAUUGUCUUCUAAACACCAUAAUUAG
rnacentral:lncRNA from 1 species